GUGCUCACUUCGGCAGCACAUAUACUAAAAUUGGAACGAUACAGAGAAUAUUAGCAUGGCCCCUGCGGAAGGAUGACACGAAAAUUCAUGAAGCACUCCAUAUUUUG
rnacentral:snRNA from 1 species